rnacentral:rRNA from 1 species
GAUGAACGCUGGCGGCGUGCCUAAUACAUGCAAGUCGAGCGAACAGACGAGGAGCUUGCUCCUCUGACGUUAGCGGCGGACGGGUGAGUAACACGUGGAUAACCUACCUAUAAGACUGGGAUAACUUCGGGAAACCGGAGCUAAUACCGGAUAAUAUAUUGAACCGCAUGGUUCAAUAGUGAAAGACGGUUUUGCUUUCACUUAUAGAUGGAUCCGCGCCGCAUUAGCUAGUUGGUAAGGUAACGGCUUACCAAGGCAACGAUGCGUAGCCGACCUGAGAGGGUGAUCGGCCACACUGGAACUGAGACACGGUCCAGACUCCUACGGGAGGCAGCAGUAGGGAAUCUUACGCAAUGGGGCAAAUCCUGACGGAGCACAGCCGCGUGAGUGAUGAAGGUCUUCGGAUCGUAAAACUCUGUUAUUAGGGAAGAACAAAUGUGUAAGUAACUAUGAACGUCUUGACGGUACCUAAUCAGAAAGCCACGGCUAACUACGUG